ACGGUCCUAAGGUAGCGAAAUUCCUUGUCGGGUAAGUUCCGACCUGCACGAAAGGUGUAAUGAUCUGAGCGCUGUCUUGGCGGGAGGCCUGGUGAAAUUGUAUUACCGGUGAAGAUACCGGUUACCUGCAGUAGGACGGAAAGACCCCAUGGAGCUUUACUGUAGCUUGGUAUUGGGUUUUGGUGUCGUAUGUAUAGGAUAGUUGGGAGGCUGUGAUGUAUGGACGCUAGUUCAUGCGGAGCCGCUGGUGGAAUACCAACCAUACUACACUAGAAUUCUAAUUUGAGGUUUGUAGCCUCGAAGACAGUGCUAGGUGGGCAGUUUGACUGGGGCGGUCGCCUCCGAAAGAGUAACGGAGGCGCCCAAAGGUUCCCUCAGGUUGGAUGGAAAUCAACCGCAGAGUGUAAUGGCAGAAGGGAGCUUGACUGCGAGACUGACGGGUCGAGCAGGUGCGAAAGCAGGGCAUAGUGAUCCGGCGAUUCCGAAUGGAAGGGUCGUCGCUCAACGGAUAAAAGCUACCCUGGGGAUAACAGGCUGAUUUUGCCCGAGAGUCCAUAUCGACGGCAAAGUUUGGCACCUCGAUGUCGGCUCAUCUCAUCCUGGGGCUGGAGAAGGUCCCAAGGGUUGGGCUGUUCGCCCAUUAAAGAGGUACGUGAGCUGGGUUCAGAACGUCGUGAGACAGUUCGGUCCCUAUCCACUGCAGGCGUAAGAGUAUUGCAAAGAUCUGUCCUUAGUACGAGAGGACCGGGAUGGACAAACCUCUGAUGUACCAGUUGUCACGCCAGUGGCACAGCUGGGUAGUCACGUUUGGAAUAGAUAACCGCUGAAAGCAUCUAAGCGGGAAACUGACUUUAAGAUAAGUACUCUAUAGACAACUUCGAGACUAGGAGUUUGAUAGGUUGGGAGUGUAAGAGCAGCAAUGUUUUUAGCGGACCAAUACUAAUAAGUCGGAAUCUUAAUCUU
rnacentral:rRNA from 1 species